UACGUAGGGUGCAAGCGUUGUCCGGAAUUAUUGGGCGUAAAGAGCUUGUAGGCGGUUUGUCGCGUCUGCUGUGAAAUUUCGGGGCUCAACCCCGAACUUGCAGUGGGUACGGGCAGACUAGAGUGUGGUAGGGGAGACUGGAAUUCCUGGUGUAGCGGUGAAAUGCGCAGAUAUCAGGAGGAACACCGAUGGCGAAGGCGGGUCUCUGGGCAGUAACUGACGCUGAGGAGCGAAAGCGUGGGGAGCGAACAGG
rnacentral:rRNA from 1 species